rnacentral:lncRNA from 1 species
GUAGGGUUCCUAAUCAGAGGCAGCUGUCUAUCGUUGUCUCUGAUUAGGAGCCAUACUUAGGCAGCCUGUUUUCCUUUGGGGUUUUGUGGGUAGUUGUUUCUGUCGUGUGGUUUGCACCGGCAGAACUGUUGGCGUUCGUUUGUGUCUUAUGUUCAAGUGUUUUGUAUUAUUAAAAUUCAAUAUGAACACUCACCAUGCUGCAUCUUGGUCCCCUCUUUCAGAUGAUCGUUACAACUAUGUACAGACUCAGUGAUCAUAGCCUUGCUAUUGAGAAAGGCCGCCGUAGGCAGACCUGGCUCUCAAGAGAAGACAGGCUAUGUGCACACUGCCCACAAAUGAGGUGGAAACUGAACUGCACUUCCUAACCUCCUGCCAAAUGUGGGAGAGCAGAGAACCGCACGGGAACUGACCUUUAUGUAAUCAGAGUCAUAGAACAGGCCUAUAGAAGAGGUGAAGACAGGUCAGCGUCAACAAGGAUACAAUGAGGUGACAUAGCAAAUUGAAACAGGCUUUUGUCUAGGAUGUGCAUAUGUUGAAUGGGCUGAUGUCUCCUGCUUCUCCCAAACAAACAACCCAUUCAGAGCCACAAUCCCCAUUUAAACACAAUGACCAGGAAGUGCAACAUCACAAAACCUCUACACAUCAUUACAGUUCGUUCCAGUCAUUGGCAGCAGAGAACUGGAAGGAGAGACGGCUAAAGGAGGAAUUGGCUUUGGGGGUGACCAGAGAGAUAUACCUGCUGGAGCGCGUGCUACAGGGUUGUGCUAAUGACACCAGUUUGUGUCUGUGAAUCUGCCCGGGAGUCACGCGGGGAACGGAGAGUCUCUGGAGUCUAAACUAAACUGAUAGACCGGAGGAGGAGGUGUCCCACUGUCUGAGUGAGUCUCUCGCUCUGAGAGAGAGAGAGAGAGAGAGAGAGAGAGAGAGAGAGAGAGAGAUCUGCGAUAGCGUUUAAGCACCAUGGACAGCAACCGGGAGCCAUUCUCGUUAACAACCAACCAGCGGGAAGUUUAGAGCAGCUCGCUCUCCUCUAAGUGUUGACCGGAGGAGCUCCCAUUUUCAGAGACGACUCACUUUUGGAUUUGGAAAUAAUGAUCUAGUCUUUGUUCAUGCAG